AACGCGAAAGGCCCCUUCGGGGGCCGAGUAGAGUGGCGCACGGGUGAGUAACACGUAGGUAAUCUACCUCUGGGUGGGGAAUAACGACCGGAAACGGUCGCUAAUACCGCAUAAUGCAGCGGCACCACAUGGUGACAGUUGUUAAAGCGGGGGAUCGUAAGACCUCGCGCCUAGAGAUGAGCCUGCGGCGGAUUAGCUAGUUGGCAGGGUAACGGCCUACCAAGGCAACGAUCCGUAGCCGGCCUGAGAGGGCGGACGGCCACACUGGCACUGACAUACGGGCCAGACUCCUACGGGAGGCAGCAGUCGGGAAUUUUGGGCAAUGGGCGAAAGCCUGACCCAGCAACGCCGCGUGAAGGAUGAAGCUUUUCGGAGUGUAAACUUCAUAAGAAUGGGACGAAUAAGGAGGGGUUAACACCCCCUUUGAUGACGGUACCAUUUGUAAGCUCCGGCUAACUCCGUGCCAGCAGCCGCGGUAAUACGGGGGGAGCAAGCGUUGUUCGGAUUUACUGGGCGUAAAGGGCGCGUAGGCGGCGCAACAAGUCACUUGUGAAAUCUCCGGGCUUAACCCGGAGCGGCCAAGUGAUGCUGUCGUGCUAGAGUGCGGAAGGGGCUACUGGAAUUCUCGGUGUAGCGGUGAAAUGCGUAGAUAUCGAGAGGAACACCUGCGGCGAAGGCGGGUAGCUGGGCCGACACUGACGCUGAGGCGCGAAAGCCAGGGGAGCGAACGGGAUUAGAUACCCCGGUAGUCCUGGCCCUUAA
rnacentral:rRNA from 1 species